rnacentral:rRNA from 1 species
AUUGAACGCUGGCGGCAUGCCUUACACAUGCAAGUCGAACGGCAGCACGGGAGCAAUCCUGGUGGCGAGUGGCGAACGGGUGAGUAAAGUAUCGGAACGUGCCCAGUCGUGGGGGAUAACGUAGCGAAAGUUACGCUAAUACCGCAUACGAUCUAUGGAUGAAAGCGGGGGAUCGCAAGACCUCGCGCGAUUGGAGCGGCCGAUAGCAGAUUAGGUAGUUGGUGGGGUAAAGGCUCACCCAGCCGACGAUCUGUAGCUGGUCUGAGAGGACGACCAGCCACACUGGGACUGAGACACGGCCCAGACUCCUACGGGAGGCAGCAGUGGGGAAUUUUGGACAAUGGGCGAAAGCCUGAUCCAGCCAUGCCGCGUGCAGGAUGAAGGCCUUCGGGUUGUAAACUGCUUUUGUACGGAACGAAAAGGUUUGGCCUAAUAAGCUGAGCUCAUGACGGUACCGUAAGAAUAAGCACCGGCUAACUACGUGCCAGCAGCCGCCGUAA